AUGGAGACAAUGGCUACUCUAGAGGAAUCUCGCCUCAUCGGGAGAGGGAAUGAAAAAGAGGAAAUCAUCAAACUAAUCUCAAAUAAAGAUCCCCAGCAAUUUCAUGUGUUCUCCUUGUGGGGAAUGGGUGGUAUUGGAAAAACAACACUAGUAAGGGAUAUCUAUCAAAGCCAAGAGAUUAGUAGCAUGUUUGAUAAGCGUGCUUGUGUCACAGUCAUGCGCCCUUUCAACUCAGCAGCACUCCUUGAGAGCUUAACUAUGCAAUUCAGAGAUAAGAAUGAAGAUACAAAAGAGAUAGAUUUAAGGAGAUGUUUAGAAGGAAAGAGAUAUUUGCUUGUUCUUGAUGAUCUAUGGUCCAUAGGAGAGUGGGAUGCUAUAAAACAAUAUUUGCCAGAAACGGCACCAAGCUGCAUAAUAGUCACCACAAGGGAAGAGAAUAUAGCGAAGCACUGCUCCAAGGAUGAAAGAAAUAUAUACCCUCUUCACCAUCUGGGCCCUGAUGACGCAUGUACCCUCUUCACCAAAAAGGUAUUUAAGGAGACCGUAAGUUUGGAUGAGCGAUAUCCAGAGUUGGUUGAACCAGCAAAACUGAUAUUGAAGAAGUGCAGAGGGCUUCCCCUUGGACUAGUCAUCAUAGGUGGCUUCUUAGCAAACCAACCAAAAACUGCUUUUGAAUGGAGAAAAAUGAAUGAGCAUAUCAGUGCUGAGUUGGAGUUGAAUCCAGAGCUUGAGACCAUAAAAGCAAUCCUUAUGAAAAGCUAUGAUGGUUUACCCUAUUACCUCAAGGCUUGUUUCUUGUAUCUGGCCAUCUUUCCUGAAGACCAGCAGAUUGCACGGAGACGCUUAGUGCGUCGUUGGAUUGCGGAGAGUUACUCAAGUGAGGUACGUGACAAGUCUGUGGAGGAAGUAUUGGACUCUUACUUCAUGGAACUUAUAAGCAGGAGCAUGAUCCUACCAUCUCAACAGUCAGUUCAUAGUAGGAAAGGAAUUGACUCCUGCCACGUCCAUGAUCUCAUUCGUGAAAUUGCCAUCUCAAAGUCUAUGGAGGAAAACCUUGUUUUCACAUUGGAGGAAGGGUGCAACUUAAAUAACCAAGGCACAGUGCGUCAUCUUGCUGUAAGCAGCAACUGGAAGGGAGAUCAGUGUGAGUUUGAGAAUAUAGUAGACCUGUCCCGUGUACGAUCAUUGACAGUGUUCGGAAAUUGGAGAUCGUUUUACAUUUCUGAUAAGAUGAGGUUACUUCGAGUGCUGGAUUUGGAAGGCGAGUGGGAUCUUGUUGAUCAUCACCUUCAGCACAUUGGGAAGCUUGUACAUGUGAGAUAUCUUUCUCUAAGGGGACAUGCUGAUAUACAUCACCUGCCAAAUUCGUUGGGGAACCUGAGACAACUCCAGACACUAGAUAUUUCUGGCACGAGCAUAGUGAAGCUACCAAGGGCCAUCAUCAAACUUGUGAAGAUGCAACGCAUUCUUGCUAGUGGCAGACAAUGGACUUCAGAUGGUGUUGAAAUGCCAAGAGGGAUUUGGAAACUGAAGUCCCUGCACACACUGCAUACCGUGGACAUCUCAGUGGGAAAGGCUGUUCUAGAAGAUAUAAAAAGGUUGACCCGGUUACACAAGUUAGGGUUGAGAGGCAUCAACAAGAGAAACGGUCAAGAGUUGUGUUCAGCAAUUGUGCGUCUCAGCAGCCUGGAGUCCUUGUCACUGCGCUCACACGGAGAGCCAGGUUUAUCAGGCUGCUUGGAUGGCCUGUCCUCACCUUCAGAAAACCUGCAGAGCCUCAAGUUGACAGGCAAGCUGGUUAAACUGCCGGAGUGGAUCCAGAGACUCAAAAAUCUCGUUAAGCUGGAGCUAGAGUGGUCGAGCAUAACGGAGCAUGAUGCGGCCAUACAAGUUCUUGGGAACCUAGCAAACCUGGCCACCCUACGUCUAUUGGAUGGCUCAUUCGUUGGUGAAGAGGUUCAUUUCAGUUUCCGGCGGGAGGCAUUCCCGAGGCUGAAGGUGCUGCAGCUGCAUAUGAUAGAAAACAUCAAGUCGGUGGGAUUUGAAGAAGGAGCAGCCCAUAAGCUUGAGUUGCUGCAGUAUUGUGGUUGGAGCAGUGACAUCAGGGUUGGGCUGUUCUCUGGGUUACUAUACCUCCCAAGCCUCAAGGAAUUUAUGCUGUAUUGGGGGAACUGGGAGAAGACUGAGUUCGUGGAGCACUUGCGAGGCCAGCUGGCAGGGCCCGUUUUGAAGAGUUGGGACGGAGAGUAG
rnacentral:rRNA from 1 species